CCUACGGGGUGCAGCAGUAGGGAAUCUUCCACAAUGGGCGAAAGCCUGAUGGAGCAACGCAGCGUGCGUGAAGAAGGUCUUCGGAUCGUAAAACCCUGUUUUUAGAGAAGAAAGUGCGUGAGAGUAACUGUUCACGUUUCGACGGUAUCUAACCAGAAAGCCACUGCUAACUACGUGCCAGCAGCCGCGGUAAUACGUAGGUGGCAAGCGUUAUCCGGAUUUAUUGGGCGUAAAGGGAUCGCAGGCGGUUUUUUAAGUCUGAUGUGAAAGCCUUCGGCUUAACCGGAGUAGUGCAUUGGAAACUGGAAGACUAGAGGGCAAAAGAGGAGAGUGGAACUCCAUGUGAAGCGGUGAAAUGCGUAGAUAUAUGGAAGAACACCAGUGGCGAAAGCGGCUCUCUGGGCUGAAACUGACGCUGAGGUUCGAAAGCGUGGGGAGCAAACAGGAUUAGAUACCCUAGUAGUC
rnacentral:rRNA from 1 species